rfam:Jaapia argillacea MTCL 33604 unplaced genomic scaffold JAAARscaffold_11, whole genome shotgun sequence.
GGGCAGAUGGCCGAGUGGUUAAGGCGUUGUGUUUAGGUAAUCACCUAAAUCCGCAAUGGGAAACCUCGCGAGUUCGAAUCUCGUUCUGCUCA